rnacentral:lncRNA from 1 species
AGAAAAACUUCAAAUAUCACCCCGUGAUUUCACACUUUCUCACUUUAGUAUCCUGUGAUUUAAAGUGUAUCAAUUUAGUACCGUGUAGUUUCAUUUUUAACUUUUUAUUAUUGAUUUCACUAAUUUUUUUCGUUAAAUUAGUGACAAAGUUAAAACUAAAAAAUAUUAAAGUGAAUAUUCGAUAAACCUAGAUGGAUAUUUAAAAUUUUUUGUAUAUAAUUUAACGAAAUGUUAACGAAAAAACUGACGAAAAGAUAAAAAUGAAAUCACAGUAUACUAAUUUGAUACACUUUAAACUAUAUGCUACUAAAGUGAGAAAGUGUGAAACUACAAGAACGGUAUUUGAAGUUUACCAAAAAAAAAAA